rnacentral:rRNA from 1 species
AAACAGGAUUAGAUACCCUGGUAGUCCACGCCGUAAACGAUGUCGACUUGGAGGUUGUGCCCUUGAGGCGUGGCUUCCGGAGCUAACGCGUUAAGUCGACCGCCUGGGGAGUACGGCCGCAAGGUUAAAACUCAAAUGAAUUGACGGGGGCCCGCACAAGCGGUGGAGCAUGUGGUUUAAUUCGAUGCAACGCGAAGAACCUUACCUGGUCUUGACAUCCACGGAAGUUUCCAGAGAUGGAAAGGUGCCUUCGGGAACCGUGAGACAGGUGCUGCAUGGCUGUCGUCAGCUCGUGUUGUGAAAUGUUGGGUUAAGUCCCGCAACGAGCGCAACCCUUAUCCUUUGUUGCCAGCGGUCCGGCCGGGAACUCAAAGGAGACUGCCAGUGAUAAACUGGAGGAAGGUGGGGAUGACGUCAAGUCAUCAUGGCCCUUACGACCAGGGCUACACACGUGCUACAAUGGCGCAUACAAAGAGAAGCGACCUCGCGAGAGCAAGCGGACCUCAUAAAGUGCGUCGUAGUCCGGAUUGGAGUCUGCAACUCGACUCCAUGAAGUCGGAAUCGCUAGUAAUCGUGGAUCAGAAUGCCACGGUGAAUACGUUCCCGGGCCUUGUACACACCGCCCGUCACACCAUGGGAGUGGGUUGCAAAAGAAGUAGGUAGCUUAACCUUCG